rnacentral:rRNA from 1 species
CGCGUAUGCAAUCUACCUUAAUCAGGGGGAUAGCCCGGAGAAAUCCGGAUUAAUACCGCAUAAUAUAGUUGAAUGGCAUCAUUUAAUUAUCAAACAUUUAUGGGAUUAAGAUGAGCAUGCGUGACAUUAGUUAGUUGGUGAGGUAACGGCUCACCAAGACUACGAUGUCUAGGGGAUCUGAGAGGAUGACCCCCCACACUGGUACUGAGAAACGGACCAG